AUUGAACGCUGGCGGCAGGCCUAACACAUGCAAGUCGAGCGGAUGAAGGGAGCUUGCUCCUGGAUUCAGCGGCGGACGGGUGAGUAAUGCCUAGGAAUCUGCCUGGUAGUGGGGGAUAACGUCCGGAAACGGGCGCUAAUACCGCAUACGUCCUGAGGGAGAAAGUGGGGGAUCUUCGGACCUCACGCUAUCAGAUGAGCCUAGGUCGGAUUAGCUAGUUGGUGGGGUAAAGGCCUACCAAGGCGACGAUCCGUAACUGGUCUGAGAGGAUGAUCAGUCACACUUGAACUGAGACACGGUCCAGACUCCUACGGGAGGCAGCAGUGGGGAAUAUUGGACAAUGGGCGAAAGCCUGAUCCAGCCAUGCCGCGUGUGUGAAGAAGGUCUUCGGAUUGUAAAGCACUUUAAGUUGGGAGGAAGGGCAGUAAGUUAAUACCUUGCUGUUUUGACGUGACCAACAGAAUAAGCACCGGCUAACUUCGU
rnacentral:rRNA from 1 species